AACGAACGCUGGCGGCAUGCCUAACACAUGCAAGUCGAACGAGACCUUCGGGUCUAGUGGCGCACGGGUGCGUAACGCGUGGGAACCUGCCCUUAGGUUCGGAAUAACUCCCCGAAAGGGGUGCUAAUACCGGAUAAUGUCUUCGGACCAAAGAUUUAUCGCCUUUGGAUGGGCCCGCGUUGGAUUAGCUAGUUGGUAGGGUAAAAGCCUACCAAGGCGACGAUCCAUAGCUGGUCUGAGAGGAUGAUCAGCCACACUGGGACUGAGACACGGCCCAGACUAUUACGGGAGGCAGCAGAGGGGGAUACAGGACAACGGGGGGAAGGCUGAUCGAGCUAUGCCGGGUGAGUGAUGAAGGCCGUAGGGUUGUAAAGCUCUUUUACACGGGAUGAUAAUGACAGUACCGGGAGAAUAAGCUCCGGCUAACUCCGUG
rnacentral:rRNA from 1 species